GAUGAACGCUGGCGGCGUGCCUAAUACAUGCAAGUCGAGCGAACGGACGAGAAGCUUGCUUCUCUGAUGUUAGCGGCGGACGGGUGAGUAACACGUGGAUAACCUACCUAUAAGACUGGGAUAACUUCGGGAAACCGUAUCUAAUACCGGAUAAUAUUUUGAACCGCAUGGUUCAAAAGUGAAAGACGGUCUUGCUGUCUCUUAUAGAUGGUUCCGCGCUGCAUUAGCUAGUUGGUAAGGUAACGGCUUACCAAGGCAAGGAUGGAUAGCCGACAUGAGAGGGUGAUCGGCCACACUGGAACUGAGACACGGUCCAGACUCCUACGGGAGGCAGCAGUAGGGAAUCUUCCGCAAUGGGCGAAAGCCUGACGGAACAACGCCGCGUGAGUGAUGAAGGCCUUCGGAUCGUAAAACUCUGUUAUUAGGGAAAAACAUAUGUGUAAGUAACUGUGCAGAGCUUGACGGUACCUAAUCAGAAAGCCACGGCUAACUACGUG
rnacentral:rRNA from 1 species